rnacentral:misc_RNA from 1 species
ACAAACUUGGUCAUUUAGAGGAAGUAUAAGUCGUAACAAGGUUUCCGUAGGUGAACCUGCGGAAGGAUCAUUAAUGUGAUGGAUGUGCUAGUCUUGACUUCUCAAUCCUUCCUUCAAUGCGUUGUUGGAUGGGGGCCUGACGGCUCGAGAGGAAAGGAAAUAAAAGCCCGUUUGGGUGUGCACUCCGAUAAAAAUCCUAUUUCAUACCUUGUGCACCUCUGCCUGCUGGACAGAUAAGAAUAUUGAAUGACGUUCUGUAUUGUCCAUGCAGGAUAACUUUGUAUCACAAUUUUUAAAGAAUAUUAUGUUGGCUUGCUUAAAGCAAAAUGUAAUACAACUUUCAACAAUGGAUCUCUUGGCUCUCGCAUCGAUGAAGAACGCAGC